CCCUUAGAUGUUCUGGGCCGCACGCGCGCUACACUGAUUCAUGCAACAAGUUUUGUCCUUGGCUGAUAGGCCUGGGUAAUCUUUGAACGUGAAUCGUGAUGGGGAUAGAUGAUUGCAAUUAUUCAUCUUCAACGAGGAAUUCCUAGUAAACGCAAGUCAUCAGCUUGCAUUGAUUACGUCCCUGCCCUUUGUACGCACCGCCCGUCGCACCUACCGAUUGAAUGGUCCGGUGAAAUCUUCGGAUCUGAGAGAUGUCUGAUUAAUUUCGGACGCCUUUUGGAAAAGUUGCUUAAACCUUACCAUUUAGAGGAAGGUGAAGUCGCAACA
rnacentral:rRNA from 1 species